GCAUCACAUUGUUCAUGAAAGAAAAAGCAACUGCUCUCCCCAGUGCCCCUUCCCCGCUCCACAUGGCUGCGAUCAGCAGCCCCAAGACCCUAAUUGCCACAGCCUAUUAGAAAUAAUGAGACUUACAUGGCAGAAGCCAAGGGUAAAAGCGACAUCUCGCAACACGAAAGGUUAAUAUCAACAUAUACAGCUAGUGAGUGCAAAGGGCACCUCAGUUGGUGGCUCAUUAUGGCGGGCUGACCCAUAGGGAAAGUGUCAUUCUGCAGAGAGGCCUUUCUCAGGAUGUGGCAGCAAAAGUUACAAAAGAUAAGGACUUGCCUGUGAAACGCACUCAACUAAUGAGAGCUGAAGAUUGUUUGAAAUAUCCCGAUGACCUCACAGAUGGGGGAUGCUGAUUAAGAUGGCUACAGGAGGCUCCUUUCUUGUCUGACAGCCCAUUGAGAAGCUUUGGUGAGAUGUGACUAACAGGCCGUGAAGGUGUCUCCAUCUUCUCUGACAUGGUCCAUGCUUUGGGCAAAACAAACAUGAAAAAUAAGUCUGAACUGACACACAUGUUUGAAUUUAGUUUUCAGAGCCAUAUUUGGGGGAAGGAGCACUGGUGGGGCCGUCAGCGAUGAUUCCUUUAUGGUAAAGGGUGUUCGUGACUACUUGCGUGACUAAUCGCAUGACUGCGCUGGGGGGUGAGCCAACGGCAAAUUGAGGUCUUGAACACUUGACAAAACAACCCCUGUUCUGUGGGUGAAAUUCUAUAGAGCUUCAUGCGUAAUUAAAUGAAAGUUUCACAAGAGUCUACACCUCAAUCAUUUAAUGCCGAUAUGUAGCACAAAGGAAGGAUUUUUGCCACAUCAAAAUACAUCCAUGAAACAAUGGAGAAAUGUCCCAAGUUUUCAGAGUCAGAGAUACUCACAGAAGAAACCCUGGAGUUCUCUUGACCUUCAUUUAGUGCCUGGGACUCUGAAAAGAGAUCACCAUUAUGCUCUCCUCUACCUCAUACUAGAGGUGAGGAUGAGAGCGCACCUCAUACUGCAUAUCUUAAUUCCUCUCCCAGGACAACUGGAAGGAACACCUAUCCGUUUGCCAUGUCACUAAAACAAAAAUCACUCGUGUCUUGCAAAAACA
rnacentral:lncRNA from 1 species